CCUACGGGUGGCAGCAGUCGGGAAUAUUGCGCAAUGGAGGAAACUCUGACGCAGUGACGCCGCGUAUAGGAAGAAGGCUUUCGGAUUGUAAAAUAUCGUCGUUAGGGAAGAUAAAAGACUGUAGCUAAGGGGGAAGCACCGGCUAACUACGUGCCAGCAGCCGCGGCAAUACAUCGGGAGCAAGCGUUAUACGGAAUUAUUGGGCGGAAAGGGUGUGUAGACGGAAGAAAGAGUUGGUUGUGAAAUCCCUGGGCUCAAAUGACGAACUGCAGUCAAAACUAUUCUCCUUGAGUGUCGGAGAGGAAUGUGGAAUGCGUAGUGUAGCGGUGAAAUGCGUAGAUAUUACGCAGAACACCAGUUGCGAAGGCGACUUUCUGGACGCUAACUGACGCUGAGGCACGAAAGUGUGGGGAGCGAACAGGAUUAGAUACCCCAGUAGUC
rnacentral:rRNA from 1 species